CACACCGCCCGUCACGCCAUGGAAGCUGUGAGCGCCCGAAGUCCGUGUCGGAACCCGCAAGGGAAGUAGCCGCUGAAGUUGUGGUUGGUGAUUGGGGUG
rnacentral:rRNA from 1 species